GGAAAUGCUACUUCUCUGAAAGGUGGUCAGGCACUGGAAUGGGCUGCCCAGAGAGGUGAUGGAGUCACCGACCCUGGUGGUGUUCAAAGAGCGUUUGGAUGUUGUGUUGAGGGACAUGGUUUAGCGAGAACCAUUGGUGAUGGGCGAAUGGUUGGACUGGAUGAUCCUGUGGGUCUUUUCCAACCUUAGUGAUUCUGAUUCUAUGAUUUUAUGAGAUGGCAAAGCCAACUUUAAAUGCUCAGCCUUUUAGGUUUUUUGUAGUAUUUUGAAAUCUUUGUAUAUUUACAUG
ensembl:lncRNA